CCACAGCUCAAGGCAACCACAGCCCACUGCAACCUCAAACUUGUGGGCUCAAACCAUCCUCCCGCCUCAGCCUCCUGAGCCUCCAUUAACCACGACUGGCUAAAUGGUAACUUCUAUAAAGAUGGAGGUUGCUUCUGGCUCAUCAGCCAUCGUUGAUGUGCCACAGACCUGAGGGCACGUGACCCAGGAAUGUGCAUCCAAAGAUAAUACUACCUUCAGAGAACUCUACUUAUAGGCUGUGGUUUUUCAAGAAAAAGGAAAAGAUUCAUAAUUCAUUGAGCUCUUUCCUUGUGAGAAGAAAGGCCACUCUUUUGUGUGCUGAAGUUGGACAACAGUUCCCAAGGAAGCUGAAUUCUAGCUGUUUAUUGUUAUUGGGUUUUGCACUAUGCCCUUUAUGUUGUCAUUAAUCAAUAAAUACGUGUGGAACAAAUGAUUAACUAGAUGAAUGAUCUCCAGGUUUUCUGAUAAUGCCAUGAGUAAAAUCAGUAGAAUCAAACAUCUACUUAGAAUACCAUUUUAUAUAGUUUUGCUUUCUGCUUUAGCACUUCUAACCUCUAGAGAAUGUUCUGUAACUCCCACCACGAUUUAAAAAUAAGCCAUAUGUGUAUGUAAUCAAAAUAUACAACACACGUUAUUUUUACAGUCUGCAUAAUAAUAUAUCAAUACUAGACAUGUAUUGCUACUUCUUGUUGUCACUGGAUAAAUUCUGCUCACUAAAUGUGACCUUGACUACUGUGUGUGUGUGUGUGUGUGUGUGUGUGUGUGUGUGAAUGUGAGUGUGUGAGUAUGUAUGUGUCUGUGUGUGUGUGAGUGUUUAUGUAUUGGGAGGCAGGGAGAAGAAACUGAAGAAUAAAAAGGAAGGACGAUACAGUUGCCUCAGCUAUUCUGUUUGGUGAAAUUGAAUCACUGAAGCAGCUGAGGCAGAGAGCUUUUCCUUCAGGAUUCACGGCCUAUUUCUCAGUUCUGGGAAGACAACUCUAACAACUCAACAGAGUGAAGAGAGAUAAAGAUGUUGGGAAUGACUGAUUUCAAACAAUCAAAACUGCUUUGGGGAUGAGGAUGAAGUUGGGACAUUACUGCCUUGUAUACCACAUACUAUAAUAUUUAUUAUGUCUAUUGUUUAUUGUGUGUGUCCUUCUUUAGAAUUUUAACUCCCCAAGGGCAAAGAUCCCUGACUGUUUUGCUUAUCAAUGUAUCCAAAAGGCCUAAAACAGAGCCUUGUACCCUAUACACACUCUGCAAAUAUUUGCUGAAUUGAAUAAAAGGCUGCCGAUCUAUAAACUAUGCUGCUUUCAAAUAAAACUAAGACAAGGACAUUGAUAGCAUAUCCUCAUCCCCUGUCUGGCCCCUUGGAUUUGAUUUGAGCCUCUGUGAUUAGAAUGAUGAAGUCUGUUGGGGCUGUUUUCAGGAGAGGUUGUGAGACUCUAGGCACCAGAAGAGCUGCCCUGGGACACAGAGAGGAAAAAGUAAUAAAUAAUGGAGAAGAAAAAAAAAAAAACCAUGGGAAACAAACAAACUCAAACUAGAAAUGAAAUAAGCUAUGGCUUCUGUAAUCCUCCUGCACAUAACAACUAUGGGUUUUGGACAAAAUACAAAAAGCAGCUAUCCAGAGGCACUGAAGAGAAGCCAAGCAGGCAGACAAUGGAGGGGAAUCUGCAUAUGGAAGAAGGAGAUGACAGUGGGAAAGUUCCCAUUAUUACAGCUCUUUGCUGGAAAGCCGGUCCCAAUCCAUGCCAAAUAAAGGUUACUAAAACAUGAAUAGAAAAUCUGUAGUCUUACUGGCAUGAAGAGCCAGGAGACAGGGUUCAUGGUGAUUAUAGCAACCAGAAAGUGAGAAGGGGGAAAUCUUGGAAAAAUGAGAGCCAAAGAGGGGGAAGUAACAUGUUCUAUGUAUAAACUCUGCACAAGUCAUUGGCUGACUCAUGAACCAUGUGUGCAAAUAGCCCAGCUAAGGCUAGAAGAACCAAACAGAGAUUUCUGUUGCUGUGCACUGGAGACAGUUUACAGUUUGAAGUAGUUAAAUUAGCUGCCUGCUUAAAACAAAUCAUCACUCUUCAGAGGAAUAUAACAGAACCCAGAGGCUCUGCAACAUAUCAUUCACAGUUUUCUGGAUAAUAUCUAAAAUACUAGGCAUAUGAAGAAAAAAAGAAAAUGUAAGCCAAAAACAAUCAAUGCAGACUGACACUCAGAUAAAUAAUUAGCAGACAAAAAUUUUAAAUCAGCUAUUUUAACUAUGCUCAUGAAUGUAAAGGAAAAUAGGUUUGUAAAGAAUUAACAAAUACAAAAUCUCAGAGAACUAGAAACUAUUAAAAUGAUCAAAUAAAAAUUCUAAGACCAAAAACUGUAAUAAAAUAUUUGAAAUAAAUGUUGCCAUAUGGGCCUGACAGUAAAUGGAAAUGACUGAAGAAAAACCGAGAGAAUUUGAAGACAGAUCAAUAUAACUAAUUCUAUCUAAAGAAUAUAGAGGAAAAAUACUGGGAAAAAUGAGCAGAGCUUCAGGGACUUGUGGGACAAUACUGAAAGAUCUAGCAUACAUAUAACUAAGUUUCAGAAAGAAAAGAGACAGAGAAUGGAAUAGAAAAAAUAUUGAGGAAGAUGUAAUAUACAUGAUAAAUGUAUAUUAGCAGAAGUGAGUCUACUUUAAAAUGUAAUUUUAGAUUUCAGAUAUAUAUGUGGUAGAAAUAAAAAAUUCAAAGAUAAUUGAUAUAGAAGAUAAUAACAAGGAUAUCCAAAUUGUGUGAAAAAUGUUCUGGAGAUCGAACAAAUAGCAAAAGUACAAAAAGAUCAAAUCACACCAGAGUAACACUCUUCAGAACUGAAAAAAAGUAAUAUCAUAAACCAAGAAAUAUCCUUAGACACUUAUAACUGAG
rnacentral:lncRNA from 10 species